rnacentral:rRNA from 1 species
AGUGAACGCUGGCGGUAGGCCUAACACAUGCAAGUCGAACGGCAGCACAGUAAGAGCUUGCUCUUACGGGUGGCGAGUGGCGGACGGGUGAGGAAUACAUCGGAAUCUACUUUUUCGUGGGGGAUAACGUAGGGAAACUUACGCUAAUACCGCAUACGACCUACGGGUGAAAGCAGGGGAGCUUCGGACCUUGCGCGAUUGAAUGAGCCGAUGUCGGAUUAGCUAGUUGGCGGGGUAAAGGCCCACCAAGGCGACGAUCCGUAGCUGGUCUGAGAGGAUGAUCAGCCACACUGGAACUGAGACACGGUCCAGACUCCUACGGGAGGCAGCAGUGGGGAAUCUUGGGCAAUGGGCGCAAGCCUGAUCCAGCCAUGCCGCGUGGGUGAAGAAGGCCUUCGGGUUGUAAAGCCCUUUUGUUGGGAAAGAAAAGCAGCAGGUUAAUACCCCGCUGUUCUGACGGUACCCAAAGAAUAAGCACCGGCUAACUUCGUG